rnacentral:rRNA from 1 species
UACAGAGGUCCCAAGCGUUGUUCGGAUUCACUGGGCGUAAAGGGUGCGUAGGUGGCCGGGUAAGUCUGAUGUGAAAUCUCCGAGCUCAACUCGGAAAUGGCAUUGGAUACUAUUCGGCUCGAGGGUCGGAGGGGAGACUGGAAUUCUCGGUGUAGCAGUGAAAUGCGUAGAUAUCGAGAGGAACACCAGUGGCGAAGGCGAGUCUCUGGACGACUCCUGACACUGAGGCACGAAAGCUAGGGGAGCAAACAGG